rnacentral:rRNA from 1 species
AUACGGAGGGUGCAAGCGUUACUCGGAAUCACUGGGCGUAAAGCGCGCGCAGGCGGCUUGAUAAGUUGGAUGUGAAAGCCUACGGCUCAACCGUAGAACUGCAUCCAAAACUGUCAAGCUAGAGUCUGGGAGGGGAAGAUGGAAUUAGUUGUGUAGGGGUAAAAUCCGUAGAGAUAACUAGGAAUACAAAAAGCGAAGGCGAUCUUCUGGAACAGUACUGACGCUGAGGCGCGAAAGCGUGGGGAGCAAACAGGAUUAGAAACCCUAGUAGUCC